rnacentral:misc_RNA from 1 species
GAUGAAGAACGUAGCGAAAUGCGAUAAGUAAUGUGAAUUGCAAAAUUCAGUGAAUCAUCGAAUCUUUGAACGCACAUUGCGCCCAUUAGUAUUCUAGUGGGCAUGCCUGUUCGAGCGUCAUUUCAACCCUUAAGCCUAGCUUAGUGUUGGGAAUCUGCUGUAUUGCAGUUCCUCAAAUACAACGGCGGAUCUGUAACAUCCUCUGAGCGUAGUAAAUUUUUAUCUCGCUUUUGUUAGGUGUUGCAGCUCUCAGCCGCUAAACCCCCCAAUUUUUGUGGUUGACCUCGGAUCAGGUAGGAAUACCCGCUGAACUUAAGCAUAUCAAUAAGCGGAGGA